rnacentral:rRNA from 1 species
CUUUACGGCCAUACUGUCCUGAAUGUGCCCAAUCUCCUCUGAUCUCAGAAGCUAAGCAGGGUCAGGCCUGGUUAGUACUGCUGGGUGUGGUGGUAC